rnacentral:lncRNA from 10 species
AAUCAAGGUCACCCAACUUCACAUUUAAGGUGGUUUGUGAGGCUGGAAGAGGAGUUGAAACUUGUUUGUAAUUAUUGUGUGGUGUAUUUGCAUUUCUAAUUGCGCUGAGGGACACUGAAGGCCAAGCUUCCAGUCUCUGGGCUGUCUUUCACCUGCGCCGCGGUGCUGAGUUGUUGGCGGCGGCGGCAGCGUCUUUUCUCCAAGCAGCACCUGUGAGAGCAGCAGCUCCAGCUGGAGUCCCAAGACUUCCAAUCAACAUAGAGAGCCACAGGGCCUGUGCCUGCGUGGGUUUGCUGUAAGGAGCCUGUAACGCAUCGAGGAGCCCAGCGCCCAACCCCACACCUGGCAUUGGCUGGGUGCUCAAUAAAUG